rnacentral:lncRNA from 1 species
CGGGGAAGGGGGAGGGGAGAGCGCGGGCGGGCCGAGCCGGCUUCGGCCAGUGGGCCAGAAGCGAGGCCGCGGCCUGCUAGCGCCCCCUUUUCCCUUUUCCAUUUUUUUUAAAUUUUCUUUUUUUAAAUCCUCUUCCAAAAGCAUUUUGACCAUUUUCAAAUCCUUUUCACAAUUUUCACCCAAAAGCAAAGUGAUGCCAAACUAAAAACUCUACAACUUUGCUUUAAUAGGUA